AUCAUGGGAACUGACCAAUAAAUCGUGGGAAACCCUGUAAUACAGGCUCUCCCAUCCAACUCCUAUUCCGACACGUCCUCGUCGUGCAGAGUGGUAACAUGUGUCACCACAUAUCCAAGCUUGGGUACACGGGCUUGACCCAACCCCUUGGGCGGAUGGUGGCACAUGGCGAACCAGGAGGGG
rnacentral:ribozyme from 1 species